UUUGACGACAUCCCAAAGGAGCUCGUAGCUGUUCUUGGGGUUUAUAAACAACAAAUUUUUUUAUUAUGAUAGCUUAAUAUAGUUAGUUUGUGUUUACUCAUCAAAAAAAAAUUCCAAUAGGGGAAAUUCAAUGGGAAUGUUGUAUUUUUGCUCUCAGGAGGGAUGUGCAUCGAUUAUUAGCAACCGAUCGUCAAACCUGAGGAUUAACCAUUGUAAGCAUAUAAGGGUAAAAAAGAAAUCUGCGGGAUAAUUUUGAUUUCCCCAUAAAAUGGUCUCUUCCAAGUAUUGAUAUUUGUGUACAACAUCAACCUUUUGACCGUAGUCUUGCAGUUGCUCAAUACGAAAGGCUGUGUAGGGGUCGCGUCUUGACGGUGGAUAGCAGGCAAUCGAUGUUAGAAACGGGGCGAACCCAGAUAAUGUGUUACCCUCGAAGCUCACAUGGCCCCAUGGUGCUAUUAAUGAUUUGGGGUUGAUUCUGUUAGGAGAAAAGGAGUCUCCUUUUUCUUUUCUUUUUUUGUAUUCUUAUUAUAAGUUGCGACCUCGCAAAUGGUCUUCUCUAUCUAUCAGUGAUCAGGAAGUUCCUGUGAGCUCUAACGUGAUUACAAAUGAUCUUCCCUAUCCAUCGAGGAAUACGUUCUUUCCACUUCCUCAUUACUUCAUUGGGAGAAAAAGGGUAACUUUCCACAUUAAGCUGAUCACGCCAAACAAUAAAGGUCUUCAC
rnacentral:lncRNA from 1 species